AUUCUAGUUGGGCACUCUAAGGUGACUGCCGGCUAAAAGUCGGAGGAAGGUGGGGAUGACGUCAAAUCAUCAUGCCCCUUAUGACCUGGGCUACACACGUGCUACAAUGGGCGGUACAAAGGGUCGCGAACCCGCGAGGGGGAGCCAAUCCCAAAAAGCCGCUCUCAGUUCGGAUUGCAGGCUGCAACUCGCCUGCAUGAAGCCGGAAUCGCUAGUAAUCGCGGAUCAGCAUGCCGCGGUGAAUACGUUCCCGGGCCUU
rnacentral:rRNA from 1 species